CGAGAAGAUCGUGACCCACGUUUGACAUGGCAGGAAGGAUCCAGAGAUGGGGCUGUGCUCGAAAGAGAACCUGCACACAGGUGCUGCAUGGCUGUCGUCAGGUCGUGUCGUGAGAUGUUGGGUUAAGUCCCGCAACGAGCGCAACCCUUGCCAUUAGUUGCUACGAAAGGGCACUUUAAUGGGACUGCCGGUGACAAGCCGGAGGAAGGUGGGGAUGACGUCAAGUCCUCAUGGCCCUUAUAGGGGGGGGUACACACGUCAUACAAUGGCCGGUACAAAGGGUAGCCAACCCGCGAGGGGGAGCCAAUCCCAAAAAGCCGGUCGUAGUCCGGAUCGCAGUCUGCAACUAGACUGCGUGAAGUCGGAAUCGCUAGUAAUCGUGGAUCAGCAUGUCACGGUGAAUACGUUCCC
rnacentral:rRNA from 1 species